CCGCAGCGGUUCUGACGUGCAAAUCGAUCGUCAAACCUGGGUAUAGGGGCGAAAGACUAAUCGAACCAUUUAGUAGCUGGUUCCCUUCGAAGUUUCCCUCAGGAUAGCUGGCCUUUGGAAACGAAUCAGUUUUAUCCGAUAAAGCGACGAUUGGAGGCGUCGGGGUCUACACGACCUUAACCUACUCUCAAACUUUAAAUGGGUGAGAGACUCGGCUCGCAGACGAACGGAGCCGGGU
rnacentral:rRNA from 1 species